AAAGCGGAACAAAAGUAAAGUGCAAUAAAAGUAAAAAGGGGGGUUUUGAGAUUGAUUUGAUUAGCAAACUACUGAAAGCAAUUAAAUCAGCAAGUAAUUAAAAUAAAAGAGAAAUUCAAUAUGAGAAAGAUCUAGUUGAAGUGAUGGAUCUACUUUGGUUGUUUGGAUUGAUCAUUGAAACUUAUGUUCUCUUGAUUGAUUCAAUAGAUUAGUUAUGGAGGUGGAAAACGCUCCUCACCAUCAUGUCUCUCCUUAUGAUUAAAUCAAUUAGGGAACGUCCUCUAAUCAAUUACUAAUUAAAAAAUUGCCAAGGAACGUCCUUGGGCCUUAGACAUCAAAACAAUUGUCAAUUGCAUGAAGAAAUAGAGAGAUCCAAUCCUAGCUACCCAAUCGCAUGGAGAUGUUGCUAAAUCAUACAAUUCCUUAGUUGUUACACCAAGUCUUCUUAGGUCUGAAUAAUUCCAGCAAUUACGGACUAAAAAUUAUCCAAACUAACAAUCAAUUACCUUGCAAUCAAGAAUCAAGUGGCCAAUUUAAUCAAAACAACAAAGUAAUCAUAGAUUCAAGUACCAAAUUGCAUGAAUAUUAAAUAAAUCAAAGACAAAUAGUUUAUGUUCAGAUCUCACAAUCCAUAAAACAACCUUAGUUUCAACCAAUCUUCAACUAUAAUAAGGGAAUUCAGCCACUCAUGGCUGAAUUAAAACAGAAAUUAAAAGGGAAAGAAAAGGGAUGGAUGAACCAAAGAUGGAGAGAAAGUGCAAUUUGCCUUGCGCCGAAUCUUGAAAGAAUUGGAGAUUGUUCUUGCCGGCCACUUAAGGACUUCUUAUAUAGGAUUUGAGGAGUUGCCUAGGUCUUCAAUUGCUGUCCAUGUGCGCCUUGAUUUGCUGUCCAUGUGCGUGUCCCAUGCACGCUUAUGCACACGUGAAUGGGUGAGUGCGUUUGGUCCUCAAUUGCAAGGAAUGGGGCUGCCCAUUAUUUAAUUGCUGGUGCAGAUGUCUUUGCUGCCCAUAUAUCUUCAAGAGGCUGCCCAAGUGCAUCCAAAAGGCUGCCCAAGUGUCAAGUUGCUGUCCAUGCACAAAUAAGGAAGGUGGAGCCUUUCCUUGCACAUGUGAAUUUUGAAUGUGCAAAGUAUGAGUUGGCAAGCAUGUGAUCUUCAAGAUUUGGCUUUCUUAGCAAGCUGGAUUUUGAAGUUCAAAAUUUGAAUAUGAAUCUUAAAGAUUUGAAAUUCAAAAUACUUUUCUUAUUUGGCUCUUCAUAUAUGGCAACUUGAGACUUGGCUUCUUGAAUAAGGAAGAGGCUACUUGGAGAUUUGAAAUUUGAAUUUCAAAUUGCUUUGGCUGAAUGUUCUUUCCUUCUUUGCCACUUUCCUUAUUUAGAACUUUUCUUAUUUGGCUUCACUUGAUUUCAACUUGGCAGGCUUGCUCUCCUUUGCUCCAUUUAAGGCAGUUUUAAGGGUAUUUUCUCCAAAAUGUCCUUUUUCACCAUUUUUUGCAAAACAAUGCCAAGAGCACUAAAUUAAGCAGAAAUCAUGUAAAUAAUCAUCAAUAAUAUCAAGAUAAAAUGGACUAAAAUAUGUUCUAUCAAAUACCCCCACACUUAGCCUUUUGCUUGUCCUCAAGCAAAUAAACAUAGUCAAACAAGCUUUCUUUGCUACUUGAUCCUUAUUUCCACUUAAGCUCUUACUCAAGACACCUAUUUUGAAUCAUUGCAGUGAAGAAUAAAUGCAUGAAGAUUACUCACCUUCUUUCCUUGUUUCUCUUUGCUUACCAUGGCUAGGAUUUGUUUUCCUUAAGAGAGAGAUCAUACAUGCACAUAUUAAUUGUUCAGAUAAGACUUUUUCUAGCUUUCAGAGUGACUUGCCCUUACCUUGAAGUUCUUUAUUCAGCUUUUUGCACUUUUUAAUCUUGCUUGAAAAAGUCACCAACCUUUUGACGUGAAGGUACAUAUUUGUGAUACCCACCCCCAGUUACUCAGUUGGUCACCUGUCUAAGUGGCUACUAGCUUUGUUCAUAGUCUUUUGACCAUUGAAAAAGUUUUGAAUUUGUGUUUAUGAGGUCUAAGCCUUUGCUGAAUUUCUUUAAUCAAUGCAUUGGGCAAAUCAACACCAAUUGCUAAAUCAAGUCAUGUUAAGUUCAUUCACACAAAUUUCAAUUCAUUCUCUCUAAUGAGUGUCAUCAAUACAUUUUUCACCAUGGCAAGCUCAAAGAUUCAAUUCAAAAGGCAAUUCUCAAACAUGAAUACAACUCACUGCAAUUGAUUCAACAUAAGUUUAAAGAGUCAUCACAUCAAUGGGGUCAUGGAAAGAAAAACUCAUCCAACAUAGUUCAUCAGUUUGAGUAUAGCAAAACAAAAAGAAGAAGAAGAAGGUUGUGGUUGUGUGUGUGUUAUUGAAAGCAUAAAUGAAAACAAACUAAAGGAAAACUGAAAGCAAAACUGAAAGCAAAACUGAAUAAGCAGAAAUCGCAAAUUCUGAAAGGAAAAAAUGAAAAAAAUUUCGCAGACUGAAAGCUAUGUAAAUUCGCAGAACUGAAAGGAAGGAGAAGAAGAAAAGAAGAGGAAGAAGAGAAGAAGAAGAGAAGAAAUAUGCACCCCCACACCUAAAUCAUGCAUUGUCCUCAAUGUAUAAGAAACAUAAAAGAACAAAGGAAACUGAGUACUCCCCUGGGGUGUGGUGUGCAUGGCAUGAUCACUUAGGCUGAAUGAGAUGGUUGAUGUAGUGGAAUUUCUUCCACUACUUGCACUGCAAAUCCUUCAUAGAAAGGUUUUAGACGAUGGCCAUUCACCUUGAAGAUUUUUCCUGUCUCUAUAUUGCGAAUGUCUACAGCUCUAUGUGGGUAAGCAUGUUCUACAAUGAAUGGUCCAAUCCACCUAGACCAUAGCUUUCCUGAAAACAAUUUCAAAUGAGAGUCAAAGAGUAAGACUUUAUCACCAACCUCAAAUUGUUUUCUUGAAAGCUGACUGUCAUGGGAGGCUUUGAUUUUUGCUUUGUAGUUCCAAGAAGUCUCAUAAGCAUCUCGUCUUAUUUUCUCUAGCUCUUGCAGUUGCAACUUGCGAUGUUGUCCAACUUCUUUGAGGUCUAUGUUGCAAUUCUUUACUGCCCAAUAGGCCUUGUGUUCAAGUUCAACUGGAAGGUGACAAGUUUUCCCAUAGACCAAUCUGUAAGGGGACAUACCUAUGGGGGUUUUGUAGGCUGUUCUGUAGGCCCAUAAAGCAUCUUCUAAUCUUGUACUCCAGUCCUUUCGGUUAGGAGACACUGUCUUUUCAAGGAUGGCCUUGAUUUCUCUAUUGGACACUUUAGUUUGCCCAUUUGUCUGAGGGUGGUAUGCUGUGGAUGUUCUAUGGAUCACAUUGUGCUUUAUGAGAAGGCUUUCCACUACCUUAUUGCAAAAAUGGGUCCCUUUUUCACUGAUGAUUGCCUUUGGUACUCCAUGUCGGGCAAAGAUGUUGGUCUUCACAAAGUCUACUACUGCCUUGGCAUCAUCAGUCUUUGUUGCUAUAGCUUCCACCCACUUGAACACAUAAUCCACUGCAAGGAUGAUGUAGGUGUAUCCAAAGGAUGGGGGAAAUGGGCCCAUGAAGUCUAUGCCCCAAACGUCAAAUACUUCACAGACCAUGAUGGGGUUCUGUGGCAUUUGAUUUCUUUUGCUCAGAUUUCCAGUCUGUUGACACCUAGCGCAUGAUCUGCAAAACAGAAAAGCAUCUUGAAAAAUAGUGGGCCAAAACAGGCCACUUUCAAGUAUUUUAUGAGCAGUCUUUCUUGGACCAAAGUGUCCACCACAACUAUAUGAAUGACAAAAAGUAAGCACAGAAGCUAUUUCUUAGUCUGGAAUACAUCUCCUUAUCAUUUGGUCAGCACAAUAUUUCCACAAAUAGGGCUCAUCCCACACAUAGUAUUUGGCAUCUUUCUUUAUCUUAUCCUUGUUGUGCUUUGGCAUGUCAGAAGGUAAGUUACCUGUGGCUAAGUAGUUCACCAUAUCUGCGUACCAUGGCUCAUCAGAUUGGGCAAGGAAGAUUUGUUCAAUGAGGUCAUUCUUACAUUCUUCAGAUUCUGAAAGGUGUUGCAAAGAUGUCUACGCAGAGAUGGUUUCAAAAGUCUCCUUCUGCGCAAGAUCUGACUGCAGAGGCGGACUGGAAGAGCUUGCCUAGGCUGGAGGCUGAAGAGUUGCGCUGAAGACGGUUUCAGUCUGCAAUGGGAGCUGAGGUGAAAGGUUCGGCGGCCGAAAGAUGGUAGAGUUCGGCGGCCGAAAGGUGGUAGAGUCUGGCGGCCGAAAGAUCAUGGCUUCAGUUUGCGCAGGUCCUUGCUGAAGUGGUGCAACAGAGUUUUCUUUAAUCUGCGCUUGACUGCAAUGUACCUGUUGGAUGCUACAGACAGUCUCUUUCAGUUUUGGUUCCUUCUGGCUCUCAUUCCUGCAAAGAUCAUCAUUCAGAAUACAAUCUUAAUUCUCAUUAAAUAUUUCCUGGCUUAAACAGUCAAUAAUAUCAAGACCAUAAACAUGGGACAUAUCAUGUGGAUAUUUCAUAGCAUCAUAGACAUUGAAUUUAAUGACUUCCCCUUAAACUCCAUAGUCAAAGUACCAUCAUGCACAUCAAUCUUAGUCCUAGCAGUACUCAAGAAAAGACAUCCAAGAAGGAUAUCAGAACUAGUAUUGCAACUAUCUUUCUUAGUAUCAAUCACAUAAAAAUCUGUAGGAAAGACAAGUUAAUCUACUUGAACUAACACAUCUUCUAGGACACCUAUGGGAUAUACCAUAGAUCUAUCAGCUAAUUGAAUCACAACUCUUGUGUCUUUCAGUGCACAUGCAUUCAGAGAAUUAUAGAUGGAAAGAGGCAUAACAUUGAUGGAUGCACCAAGAUCACAUAUAGCUUUCUUAAUACCAACGUUCCCAAUUUUGUAAGAAAAAGCAAACAUACCUUUGUCUUUGCAUUUAGUAGGGAGUUCUCUUUUAAUCACAGCAGUAACAACUUCACCUACACUUACUUUUUCUCUCUCAGCAAGCUUUCUUCUAUUGGUGCAAAGUUCUUUUAGAAAUUUUACGUACCUUGGAAUCAGCUUAACAGCAUCUAGCAGAGGUGUGUUGAUCUGGACCUUUCUGAAGGUGUCAAGAAUCUCUUUUUCUUCCUUUUCUUUUUGUGUUCUUUCAAAUCUCUUUGGAAAAGGAGGUGGAAUGUGAAAGCUUACCUUUUAAUUAGUCUUUUACGCAUGAGGUGCUUCAGGUGGAGCUCGGCUGGCCGGCUCAUGGAGAUGGGGUUGCACAGAUGUUUCAGUUUGCGCAGGAGAGGUUUCAGGUUGUGCAGGCUCUUGUGCAACUUGCUUUUCUUCCUCAUAUCUUGCAUUUUGAAGCUCCUUUCCACUUCUCAGAGUAAUGGCACUAACAUUUUGUCUAGGAUUAGUUUCAGUUUGAGAAGGGAGCUUACCUUGCAUUUCAGAUCUGCUCAUGGACGCAGUCAGUUGUCCUAUGUUCUGUCGCAUGCCCUGCAUGGCAUUUACCAUUGUUUCCAUCAUCUUUUCAAGGUGAUGGAUGGAAUUUGGAGGUUCUGGUUGGGCUUGAUUCCUUUGAUAGUUCUGAUAGUUCUGAUUGCUGUUGGCCCUUCCAUAGCUGAGAUUUGGGUGGUCCCUCCAACCUGGGUUGUAGGUGUUGGAAUAUGGAUCAUGUCUAGGCUGGUUGUUAUAUCCUCCAAUGGCAUUAACUUGCUGGUUGUCUUCUUGAAGAGUAGGACAUUGAUCAGUUGGAUGUCCUACAUAUGCACAAAUACCACAUGGCCUAGGUGGCUGGGUUGCUUGAAUCUGUUGAACCAGUCCUAUGGUAAAAUCUUUCAUAACAGAUGUCAAUUCAGAAAUAGUAGGUGAACUUACCUCAUUGACUCCUCUUUGCAGUUGCUUUUCUUCUCCAUAUUGCCUAGAUGAGGCUGCAAGUGUGGAGAUCAACUCUCUCAUCUCCCUAGGUGUCUUGUCUGCAAUGGAUCCACCACAAGCUACAUCUAUGAAUCACCUUUCUGAUGAGAGCAAUCCCCCAUAGAAGAACUAUAUGAGGGACCUGUCUGACAUAUCAUGUUGUGGACAACCUGUACACAGUCUUUCAAACCUUUCCCAAUAAUCAUAUAAAUCCUCAGUUGGUUUCUGUCUUAUGCUAGUGAUUUCUCUUAUUAUGCCAAUUGACUUAGAUGUUGGAAAGUAUUUGUUCAAAAAGGUUUGGACCAUAUCAUCCCACGAAGUUAUAGAUCCAGGUGGCAAAUAAAAUAACCAAUCUUUAGCAUAGUCAUCUAAUGAAAAAGGAAAAGCUCUUAACUUAACAUGAUCUUUAGAAAUACCUUGAGGUCUCAUGGAUGAACAAACAAUAUUGAACUCUUUGUGUGGAUUUUCAUUUUGCAAACCUCUAAAUUUAGGGAGAAGAUGGAUCAAACCUGUUUUCGGAUCAAACCUGUUUUUAGUUCAAAGGGAACUGUCAGAGGUGGAUAGGUAAUGCAAAGUGGUGCUUGAUCGCCUACAGGUGUUGCCAAUUCUCUCAUGGUUCUUUCUCUUGACAUUGGAGCUCUAAUGGCUGGAUUUUCUUGAAUUAUUUGGUCAUGGACAGCCUGUCCAUUUUGGGCAGCAUGUUGUGCAUUAGGUUCAACCAUUGGUGCGAAGUUCGGUGGCUGGAGAAGGGAAGGUUCGGCGGCCGAAUGUUGAUGAAGUUCGGCGGCCGAAUGUGUGGCAAAAUGUUCAGGCGCAGUGGCUUACUUUCCGAGUCUUCUGAUUGUGCGUUCAAUCUCUGGAUCAUAAGGCAGAGUGUCCCUACAUUCAGAUCUAGUCAUGAAAGAAAAAUAAACAAGUUAGAACAAUUCUCCGGCAACGGCGUCAAUUUUUGACUCGUGGUUGUCGAAGCCGGUCAAAAAUAACAUUUCCAGUUAUCAACAAUUUUACAAUUGCAGAUAGUGGUAAAGGAUCGAAUCCAUAGAGAAUUUAAAACUUAUCUAUUUUUCUCAACAAGACCAAUAGAUUAAACUGAAUGAGAAACUGAAAGUAAGUAACUGAAAGCGGAACAAAAGUAAAGUGCAAUAAAAGUAAAAAGGGGGGUUUUGAGAUUGAUUUGAUUAGCAAACUACUGAAAGCAAUUAAAUCAGCAAGUAAUUAAAAUAAAAGAGAAAUUCAAUAUGGAAAGAUCUAGUUGAAGAGAUGGAUCCACUUUGGUUGUUUGGAUUGAUCAUUGAAACUUAUGUUCUCUUGAUUGAUUCAAUAGAUUAGUUAUGGAGGUGGAAAACGCUUCUCACCACCAUGUCUCUCCUUAUGAUUAAAUCAAUUAGGGAAC
rnacentral:lncRNA from 1 species